rnacentral:rRNA from 1 species
UACAGAGGGUGCAAGCGUUGUUCGGAAUUACUGGGCGUAAAGCGCACGUAGGCGGCUUUGUAAGUUAGAGGUGAAAGCCUGGUGCUCAACAUCAGAACUGCCUUUAAAACUGCAUCGCUUGAAUCCAGGAGAGGUGAGUGGAAUUCCGAGUGUAGAGGUGAAAUUCGUAGAUAUUCGGAAGAACACCGGUGGCGAAGGCGGCCCACUGGAUCGGUACUGACGCUGAGGUGCGAAAGCGUGGGGAGCAAACAGG